CGUGCUGUGCAAGGUGGUCGCACGCGAGCGCGUGGACUGCUGGUGCGCGGGCGGUCUCCGUGCAGAGCGCGCGGGCGCGGGGCGUGGUCAGUGAGCUACAAAAACGCAUGUCCAAGGAUUGCCAGCAGCCACCAGAGCUGAGAAGAGGCAAGGAUUCUUCCCUGGAACCGUCAAAGGCAGCACAGCCCUGUUGAUAGCCUGAUUUGGGGCUUCUAGUCUCCAAAACUGCAACGAACAUCUCAAAUCUGGAUUUUUGCGAUAGUCUCCGCAGGAGACACACCUGCUGAAAUUCAUCCUGCAGGCCACACCUGUCUGAUUCAGUCAGUGCUGGAAGGAGAGGGUAGUCCUUGGACGGCUCCUGCGAAAUGUCUGGACCUGAGAACUUGAAUUUCAGGGGAGCUCUCUCAACAGUUCAUUCUGAUGCAGACUAGAAAAGGCAUAUAACAUGGCUCAUCUUAGUGUCUUCUGGACCCUCAGCCUCUGGUUCCAGAAGCCUCCAUCUGCUGCAGUUUAAGAAAUGCACUUAAAGAUUUGGGAGAGGCCAAAGACCUGGAUGGGCUAUUCAGGCAGGUGCUUAGAGAACGCUUGAUCCUUGUUGGAGCUUUUCCAAGCCAGAAUGUGAAUAUAUUACAGCCAUAUUUGUGGUAUAUUAGCAUAUUCUCACCUGUGUAAAAUAAACUCUCCAGUGGAAACUGAAUCUGUGCGGCUGUUGAAUGGACAAAGAAGUUGUGGUACACAAAUACACACACACACACACACACUGGAAUAUUAUGCAACC